UACGUAGGGGGCAAGCGUUGUCCGGAAUCAUUGGGCGUAAAGAGCGUGUAGGCGGUCCGGUAAGUCGGCUGUGAAAGCCCAGGGCUCAACCCUGGAAUUGCCUUCGAUACUGGCAGGCUUGAAUACGGGAGAGGAGAGCGGAAUUCCUGGUGUAGAGGUGAAAUUCGUAGAUAUCAGGAGGAACACCGGUGGCGAAAGCGGCUCUCUGGCCCGAUAUUGACGCUCAUGUACGAAAGCGUGGGGAGCAAACAGG
rnacentral:rRNA from 1 species